rnacentral:rRNA from 1 species
CCUACGGGAGGCAGCAGUGGGGAAUUUUGGACAAUGGGCGCAAGCCUGAUCCAGCAAUGCCGCGUGAGUGAAGAAGGCCUUCGGGUUGUAAAGCUCUUUUGUCAGGGAAGAAACGGUGGGAGCUAAUAUCUCCUACUAAUGACGGUACCUGAAGAAUAAGCACCGGCUAACUACGUGCCAGCAGCCGCGGUAAUACGUAGGGUGCAAGCGUUAAUCGGAAUUACUGGGCGUAAAGCGUGCGCAGGCGGUUUUGUAAGUCUGUCGUGAAAGCCCCGGGCUCAACCUGGGAAUUGCGAUGGAGACUGCAAGGCUUGAAUCUGGCAGAGGGGGGUAGAAUUCCACGUGUAGCAGUGAAAUGCGUAGAGAUGUGGAGGAACACCGAUGGCGAAGGCAGCCCCCUGGGUCAAGAUUGACGCUCAUGCACGAAAGCGUGGGGAGCAAACAGGAUUAGAUACCCUGGUAGUCCACGCCCUAAACGAUGUCUACUAGUUGUCGGGUUUUAAUUAACUUGGUAACGCAGCUAACGCGUGAAGUAGACCGCCUGGGGAGUCGGUCGCAAGNUUAAAACNCAAAGGAUUGACGG